GAUGAACGCUAGCUACAGGCUUAACACAUGCAAGUCGUGGGGCAUCAUGAUGUAGUAAUACAUUGAUGGCGACCGGCGCACGGGUGAGUAACGCGUAUCCAACCUACCCUCCACUCAAGUAUAGGCUUCCGAAAGGGAGAUUAAUCCUUGAUAUCGUCAUUCUCUCUCCUGUUAGAAUGAUAAAAGGACAUCGUUUCGGUAGAGGAUGGGGAUGCGUUCCAUUAGGUAGUAGGUGGUUUAACAGGCCACCUAGCCGAUGAUGGAUAGGGGUUCUGAGAGGAAUAUCCCCCACACUGGUACUGAGAUACGGACCAGACUCCUACGGGAGGCAGCAGUGAGGAAUAUUGGUCAAUGGGCGCAAGCCUGAACCAGCCAUGUAGCGUGAAGGAUGACGGUUUUUUUGAUUGUAAACUUCUUUUCUGUGCGAUUAAAGUGUGGCAUUUAUGCCAUAUUGCAGUAUCUCAGGAAUAAAGC
rnacentral:rRNA from 1 species